CAUAGCCCCGGGUUUGGCCGCCCCAGCCCCGCCUUCCCCGCCCCGGGGAGCCCGCCCCCUGCCCCGCGUCCCUGCCGACAGAGUUAGCACGACAUCAGUAUGAGCUGGUCACCUUCCCUGACAACGCAGACAUGUGGGGCCUGGGAAAUGAAAGAGCGCCUUGGGACAGGGGGAUUUGGAAAUGUCAUCCGAUGGCACAAUCAGGCUGACCCACCCCAAUGUGGUGGCUGCCCGAGAUGUCCCUGAGGGGAUGCAGAACUUGGCGCCCAAUGACCUGCCCCUGCUGGCCAUGGAGUACUGCCAAGGAGGAGAUCUCCGGAAGUACCUGAACCAGUUUGAGAACUGCUGUGGUCUGCGGGAAGGUGCCAUCCUCACCUUGCUGAGUGACAUUGCCUCUGCGCUUAGAUACCUUCAUGAAAACAGAAUCAUCCAUCGGGAUCUAAAGCCAGAAAACAUCGUCCUGCAGCAAGGAGAACAGAGGUUAAUACACAAAAUUAUUGACCUAGGAUAUGCCAAGGAGCUGGAUCAGGGCAGUCUUUGCACAUCAUUCGUGGGGACCCUGCAGUACCUGGCCCCAGAGCUACUGGAGCAGCAGAAGUACACAGUGACCGUCGACUACUGGAGCUUCGGCACCCUGGCCUUUGAGUGCAUCACGGGCUUCCGGCCCUUCCUCCCCAACUGGCAGCCUGUGCAGUGGCAUUCGAAAGUGCGGCAGAAGAGUGAGGUGGACAUUGUUGUUAGCGAAGACUUGAAUGGAACGGUGAAGUUUUCAAGCUCUUUACCCUACCCCAAUAAUCUUAACAGUGUCCUGGCUGAGCGACUGGAGAAGUGGCUGCAACUGAUGCUGAUGUGGCACCCCCGACAGAGGGGCACGGAUCCCACGUAUGGGCCCAACGGCUGCUUCAAGGCCCUGGAUGACAUCUUAAACUUAAAGCUGGUUCAUAUCUUGAACAUGGUCACGGGCACCAUCCACACCUACCCUGUGACAGAGGAUGAGAGUCUGCAGAGCUUGAAGGCCAGAAUCCAGCAGGACACGGGCAUCCCAGAGGAGGACCAGGAGCUGCUGCAGGAAGCGGGCCUGGCGUUGAUCCCCGAUAAGCCUGCCACUCAGUGUAUUUCAGACGGCAAGUUAAAUGAGGGCCACACAUUGGACAUGGAUCUUGUUUUUCUCUUUGACAACAGUAAAAUCACCUAUGAGACUCAGAUCUCCCCACGGCCCCAACCUGAAAGUGUCAGCUGUAUCCUUCAAGAGCCCAAGAGGAAUCUCGCCUUCUUCCAGCUGAGGAAGGUGUGGGGCCAGGUCUGGCACAGCAUCCAGACCCUGAAGGAAGAUUGCAACCGGCUGCAGCAGGGACAGCGAGCCGCCAUGAUGAAUCUCCUCCGAAACAACAGCUGCCUCUCCAAAAUGAAGAAUUCCAUGGCUUCCAUGUCUCAGCAGCUCAAGGCCAAGUUGGAUUUCUUCAAAACCAGCAUCCAGAUUGACCUGGAGAAGUACAGUGAGCAAACCGAGUUUGGGAUCAGUGAGUGUGCACUUUGCAAUGAGUUUAAAGACACCAUUUUUUUUUCUUUUUCUCUUUCUAAGGUUUCUUUUGUCCUAUUAUAAUUGAGUUCUUAUUUCUGUUUCAGUUUUGUGGUGUUUUUAUUUUGUUUUGUUUUGUUUUUCCUUCUCAAUUUUUUUUCAGCAUCAGAUAAACUGCUGCUGGCCUGGAGGGAAAUGGAGCAGGCUGUGGAGCUCUGUGGGCGGGUAGGAGACUCAUUUUGGGUUUCGGAACUUACCAAGGGGGUGAGGUUUUGUGCUCCCACUUUUCACUUUCUCAUCAAACACUGGGUCGAUCUCUGUCAAAAAUCAGGUGUUCCUCACCAUGCUUUGAGCUUAACUGGACCAGCUGAAAAGAGGCCAAGAGAGUAGCCAGUGAAGGGAGCCCCUCUGUGGCCAGAUGCAAGAGCUGCAUGAAUGGACAGAGAUGGUCCAGGUUUAAAUAAGAAGCAAGGGUUAGGUUCCCUUGGGGAAAAGCCAAGACCAUUUCCUGUUAGGAAGGGCAUUGGAUGGAUGAUCAACACUCCCUCUUGUCGAAGGUUUUUGACUAAUUUUGUUGGGAUGCUAAAUCCAUAGGAAAUAAAAGGUCUAGGCAGAAAGUCUCAGGGCAGCGUAAAUCAGAUGUCACCAAAAAAAGUUAAUUAUGAAGGCAAAGGAAAUACGUGUGACUUAAUGAACCUCACACAAACUGAAGGUUGAAGUCAGGCUCCGGGGCUUUUUCCUGGACUUAUCCUCUGUUUUCCCCUGUGUACUUGGGCAAGGAUCUUCACCUGUGUCUUAGUAUCGAUUUUUAUGAAUCAGUACUGAUGGAGUAUAUGUGUGUUUAAUGGUGAAUAUUAACCAUAGAAGGGCUGAGUGCUCCUCCCCAUCUUGGGACUCAUAAUCUGUGAAAUAAAACAGUCUGGGCCUCCCUGCCCGGGUAGCAUCAGGAUAGACAGAUGAAGAGAAGAGAAAGUAAUGUGUCUUGGGCAUCUUCUGUAUGCCAGGCACCAUGCCAGAGGCUUUAAGUACUUCAUCUUACUUGACUCCUCAGAUGGCCCUGUUAGAAGCCUAUUUUAUGCAAAAGGAAACUGUAGCUGGGGGUAAGUAACUUGCCAGGGGGUCACACAGCUAGAAAGCGGUGGACCCUAGAUGCAGGCGCAGCCAUUCAGACCCCACAGUCCACAUUCCUUUGAGCCAGUCCAUUGAGGGUCCUCAGGGAAUGUGGCGGGUCCCCUGGUCUCGCUCCCCCGCAGAUCUUGCAUCUCAGCAUGCGCCUACCACAUCAGUUGACAUUAGCACAGCUUUUCCAUUAGGAGAACGAAGUGAAACUCCUGGUAGAACGGAUGAUGGCUCUGCAGACCGACAUUGUGGACUUACAGAGGAGCCCCAUGGGCCGGAAGCAGGGGGGAACGCUGGACGACCUAGAGGAGCAAGCAAGGGAGCUGUACAGGAGACUAAGGGAAAAACCUCGAGACCAGCGAACUGAGGGUGACAGUCAGGAAAUGGUACGGCUGCUGCUUCAGGCAAUUCAGAGCUUCGAGAAGAAAGUGCGAGUGAUCUAUACGCAGCUCAGUAAAACUGUGAUUUGCAAGCAGAAGGCGCUGGAACUGUUGCCCAAGGUGGAAGAGGUGGUGAGCUUAAUGAAUGAGGAUGAGAAGACUGUUGUCCGGCUGCAGGAGAAGCGGCAGAAGGAGCUCUGGAAUCUCCUGAAGAUUGCUUGUAGCAAGGUCCGUGGUCCUGUCAGUGGAAGUCCGGAUAGCAUGAAUGCCUCUCGACUUAGCCAGCCUGGGCAGCUGAUGUCUCAGCCCUCCACGGCCUCCAACAGCUUACCUGAGCCAGCCAAAAAGAGUGAAGAACUGGUGGCUGAAGCACAUAACCUGUGCACCCUGCUAGAAAAUGCCAUACAGGACACCGUGAGGGAACAAGACCAGAGUUUCACGGCCCUAGACUGGAGCUGGUUACAGAUGGAAGAAGAAGAGCACAGCUGCCUGGAGCAGGCCUCAUGAUGUGGGGGGACUCGACCCCCUGACAUGGGGCAGCCCAUAGCAGGCCUUGUGCAGUGGGGGGACUCAACCCCCUGACAUGGGGCUGCCUGGAGCAGGCCGCGUGACGUGGGGCUGCCUGGCCGCGGCUCUCACAUGGUAGUUCCUGCUGCACUGAUGGCCCAGCGGUCUCUGGUAUCCAGAUGGAGCUCUCGCUUCCUCAGCAGCUGUGACUUUCACCCAGGACCCAGGACGCAGCCCUCCGUGGGCACUGCCGGCGCCUUGUCUGCACACUGGAGGUCCUCCAUUACAGAGGCCCAGCGCACAUCGCUGGCCCCACGAGCGUUCAGGGGUACAGCCACGGCAGCUCCUUCCUCUGCCGUGAGAAAAGUGCUUGGAGUACGGUUUGCCACACACGUGACUGGACAGUGUCCAAUUCAAAUCUUUCAGGGCAGAGUCCGAGCAGCGCUUGGUGACAGCCUGUCCUCUCCUGCUCUCCAAAGGCCCUGCUCCCUGUCCUCUCUCACUUUACAGCUUGUGUUUCUUCUGGAUUCAGCUUCUCCUAAACAGACAGUUUAAUUAUAGUUGCGGCCUGGCCCCAUCCUCACUUCCUCUUUUUAUUUCACUGCUGCUAAAAUUGUGUUUUUACCUACUACUUUGGUGGUUGUCCUCUUUUCGGCAAAGUUGGAGCGAGUGCCAAGCUCUCCAUCUGUGGUCCUUUCUGCCAAGAGCGACUCAUAGUAACCAGGAUGGGAGAGCAGCUGCCUUAUUCUGAAUCCCAAAAAUUACUUGGGGGUGAUUGUCACAGAGGAGGGACAGAAAGGGUAUCUGCUGACCACCAGCCUGCCUACCCAUGCCCAUGUCGCCAUUCCUGCUCAAGCGUGUGUGCUGGGCCGGGGAGUCCCUGUCUCUCACAGCAUCUAGCAGUAUUAUUAAAUGGACUCAUUUUUAAAAUAGCUCCUAUAUUUUGUAACAUGUCUCAAACACUCAUACUGGGUUCCACAAUCCACUGUUAGAAUACCUAUGGUUAGGGCUUCUGAACUAAAAUAAUGGAAAAUUUUAACAAUUUGUAUAGUGCCUGGAUCAUUACUAGUGCCAUAACCCUGCUUCUUCAACAUUUCACAGAACUUCUCUUUUAUAUAAAGGCAAGAGCACAAAAUGAGUUCAGAUGAUCACAAACAGGUGAGUUUUGUUGGAGAAGAAAGUUGGAGUAGGAGACUUUCACAAGUGGUUUCCAUGGAGAUAGAAUGAAGCAUUCUGUGGUCAAGUAAGUUUAGGGAGCUAUUCAUGUUUCACUUGCUUUGUGGAGAUUCACACUAUGCACUGGGAAAGUAUCUGAAAAGUCUUAUAAUAAAGAAACAGGCUUAACUUUGUAUAAGAACACUGUUUAUCAAUGUCAUUUGGCUAUAGAAACAUUUUCUCCUGCUGAUUGUGUGUGUGAAACAUGUAUUAACAUUCCAAUGAACUAGCAUUUAAUAAAGCACAAUUUUGGAAACCCUG
rnacentral:sRNA from 1 species